rnacentral:tRNA from 1 species
GCCCAGCUGGCUGAAUUGGUAGAGCGUGCGACUCUUGAUCUCAGGGCUGUGAGUUGGAGCCCCACGUUGGGUG